rnacentral:rRNA from 1 species
AGAGUUUGAUCCUGGCUCAGAUUGAACGCUGGCGGCAGGCCUAACACAUGCAAGUCGAACGGUAACAGAAAGCAGCUUGCUGCUUUGCUGACGAGUGGCGGACGGGUGAGUAAUGUCUGGGAAACUGCCCGAUGGAGGGGGAUAACUACUGGAAACGGUAGCUAAUACCGCAUAACGUCGCAAGACCAAAGAGGGGGACCUUAGGGCCUCUUGCCAUCGGAUGUGCCCAGAUGGGAUUAGCUAGUAGGUGGGGUAAAGGCUCACCUAGGCGACGAUCCCUAGCUGGUCUGAGAGGAUGACCAGCCACACUGGAACUGAGACACGGUCCAGACUCCUACGGGAGGCAGCAGUGGGGAAUAUUGCACAAUGGGCGCAAGCCUGAUGCAGCCAUGCCGCGUGUAUGAAGAAGGCCUUCGGGUUGUAAAGUACUUUCAGCGGGGAGGAAGGGAGUAAAGUUAAUACCUUUGCUCAUUGACGUUACCCGCAGAAGAAGCACCGGCUAACUCCGUGCCAGCAGCCGCGGU